CGGCAAAAAAAUGCACCUCAGCGAUUUCAAGCGCUUUGAAGUUUUGCUUUGAUUUAGAUGUUUAUGAUUUGAUCUGAUCGCCUCCGGCGUUGAGACAAACACAGACACCUGUUUACGACCUGACUGCGGUCAUGGGUUGCGUUUAGCUAUUGUUUAUAUUAAUAAUCGAAUUAAUGUGUGCCAAAAGAGCAUUCGAAAUACACGCCACCGACUCAACUAAACAACU